rnacentral:lncRNA from 7 species
GAUAGGAUUUCUCAAGAAAUGGCGACUUACAUCACCAUCUUUCUCCAGCUGACUGCACCACUAAACUCCUGGUCAUCUUUGGCGCAGCAGGAAGAGUCAAAGUCAGAAUGGUGACAAUCAACUGUGACAGCUCUGCAGCUUGUACUACUGGCGAGAGCAAUAGGAGAACUAAAGAUAUCUUCCAUCUCAUCAGUAGAUGCAGGCAAGACGUUGCUCAGAGCCAUCAGCAAGAUGCAAGUGAGCUGACAGUCAGACUCUUGUACAAGAUUUUCAUGCCUUACAAGUAUCCCAAAUUACAUUUUAUAAGUGAAGUUCUUCUAAGAGCCAGUCACCAGGAAGCAUCCACUUUAAUUCAGAGCUGGAAUAUGAAAUCAUACAGUUAGAACAGUACAACGUAACUCACCAAAAGCCCCGUCAACUGUAGAUGCUGUGUUUCACCAUCACUCUUGGGCCCAGGCUGAGACCAGAGAACACGUCCUGCUGUCAACUGUCCAUGGUUUUGCUUGCUUUGUGUUUGACUCUGGCUUGGAGCUCAGGCUCCAGCUCAUCUCAGCACUGUCCUUUCCAAAGGCAGCUUGGAGCAGCAGGCUGCAGGCUGGCCAAGACAUGGCAGCUUCCACAGUUAUCUCACCUUAGCCAAAAACAGCACCAGAUUGUGAAUUGUCCUGCUAUGCUCCACCAGUGAAAAGGGCUAAUUUUUUUUGUGGAUAUGUUAUGGCUGUGGGCAAGAUGAGGGAAGAACACACUGUCUCAGCAAGCAGACAGCAAUUAAAGACUCUUCCUCUCAGAAAUACAGCGACAGAGAAACACUGGUAAAAUUCAGAUUUAGUCUGGACUCAAUUGCUCUGUCUAUGGCUGCUCCUAUGGGUAUUACAGUUCUGGAAAUACCAGGUUCCCAUUCUGGAGCAGCAGAGCACCAAGGUCUAAUGGAGCUGGCAGGAGUCAUUUCUGUGCUUGAGUACACACUGGUCUGCCCCCUUCACUCCUUGCCCUCAUGGAUUUGAACUGCCUUCAUAAAGAGAAAUGUGCUUUGUUUUUAAUGGUUAUAUGUGACAAUUACAAUUUCUCUUCUUUUAUCAAAAAUACAUCAUUAUUGUCAAGAAUGGGUCAUUUUAUUCACAGCAUUAUAGCUUAAAUAAAAUGUAAAGUCACU